rnacentral:sRNA from 4 species
AUGUACCUUUCGCACGCUGCGGUUCCCCAGCGCCGUCUACGCCCACCUGAGGUCUGCUCGCGACGUUGUGUUCGUU